CUCCUUGUCUAUUUGUGAUGACACCACAACCGUCCCAGCUGUUCCAGUCCCAACCACUGGUUCACGUCCUUCCUCUGACCCCAGUCCUGCUGUUUCCUUCCUUAAGGUCACGAGCUGGUCAACCCAUCUCCUCUGAAUACCAGUCAUAUGGAUGCUGUUGAGUUGAAAGGGAAGAAGCCAGUACGCCCUGAUUGUUACAGGCACUUUAUCCCUCGUUUCAAGAGCUCCACUCUUGAUCAGGCUGCCGUGGCUUCCC